rnacentral:lncRNA from 1 species
AAUGCCACAUGAAAAAACCCGUGACGGCCUUCUCUCUGACUCCUGUAAGUUUGCCCUGGACCGGAGGAGAGCUCUGACCCUUUCACCUGAGAUCAGACGUGACAGCUGUCAGUCUGAAAGUCCUCUUAAGAUCCCCAGGAGAGUUUCCACAGCUGAGGAUGAGUGUGUGGAUACAGAGAUGUCAAAAGAUUGGAAAAAGAGCCACUCCAAGAUCCACUGGACACAAUUGGCCUCAAAUGGUACAUCCUCGCAGUCAGAUCCAAAAUCACAAAAAAACUUUGAUCAAUGGAAGGAAAUCUACAGCCGUCAAGUCAUGGUGGUCUUAGAAGAUGUCCUUCAGACAGAGAUUGGGCAGAGAUUGCUGAGAUGUGGUGGGCAGAGUUGCCAAAAGACGAACCAUUCAGAGAGCAAAAGGCAGAGUGAUCACACCUCAACAGCUGCACUCAAAGACAAGAGGAGAACCAGUCUAACAAAAAGAGAAGAGAAAGACUCUGCUGGACCAAAAGCCACUUCACCAUCCCAUAAUCAGACUGAAUCAUCUGCUGAAAAUGAAUCACGUCUACACAAAGAAAUCCAAAUUCCAAAAUCCAAACAACUGAACUCAUCACUGAAACUAUUAGAGGCAUCUGAAGUAUCAGGUAACUCUUGUUCACCCAGAGAAAGUGACUCACCACAGGCUAAACAGACCAAACCAUCUACUUUUGAAGAGAAUGAAGUAUUACUUCUUGAAGGAUCUCCACAGCAUGAGGAAGCACUUUCCUCUGGAUGUGAAUUUAUAUGCAGCCCCUCAUCACUGUUAGCAACGCGGGGUAGUCUGAAAGAGGAAAAAUCAGGUAGCGAGCAUCUAGCCAAUAAGAAAGAAAGGAGAGAAACACAAGAGAGCCCAAAAUAUGCUUCAGAAAAUAAGGAAAAUCACUUGCUCAGGAAUGGAGAGGUGGUGCAGGAAGUGGAUGGAAUGAGAGGAAGUGUGUUACGCCUCUCAGUCGGGGUUGAUGGGGAGAUCCCGGUCAAAAGAUGUCGUAUGGGCAGCCUUUCAGGUGAACAUGUUCCCAACUCAGACCCUGCCUCUGGGAGAACAGAGGGGUGGAGCUUCAUCAUAGAGUCCUCUAAGAUCAGCCCAUUUGAAUCUAUUGUUCUGUCCAGUGAAGAGGAAGAGGAAGAGGAAGGAGAGGAAAGAAAAGAGUUGAAUGCCUCUGCCCCAAAUAUCCAGCCACUGGAGGGUGCAAAAGACAUGAAUAUAGUAGAUAAAUCGAGUUCUGCUGAGAUGGAGCUGCAGCUGUCUUCCCUUCACAUGGGUGGAGUUAGUGCCCCUUGUGAGAGUAUGAAGAUCACUACAGACAAGAUCACCUUUUCAUUUAAAGAUUCUUCAGUGAACAUUUCUGUGUUGACGGCUAGUGUGUGUAAAUACAGUGUAUGGGAGGAGCCUGUACUGAAGGGGUGUGGCCUGGUUAAGGAAAACGAGGUCCCACCCCCUUAUCUGGUCUUCCUUUGGCUGUCUGAAGCCCAGGCACACCAAUUACACAAUGACCUGUCCGUCAUCCUGCCAGGCACAUGUCCAGCUGAAAGCAGUAGCCAGAAAGCCUGA